AGUACGCUGGCGGCACGCCUAACACAUGCAAGUCGAACGCAGUAGCAAUACUGAGUGGCAAACGGGUGAGUAUAAUGUGGGAAUCUGCCUUUUGGUUUGGAAUAACACGGGGAAACUUGUGCUAAUACCGAAUAAGCCCUUACGGGGAAAGUUUUAACGCCGAAAGAUGAGCCUGCACUUGAUUAGCUAGUUGGUAAGGUAAAGGCUUACCAAGGCAACGAUCAAUAGCUGUUCUUAGAGGAAGACCAGCCACAUUGGGACUGAGACACGGCCCAGACUCCUACGGGAGGCAGCAGUGGGGAAUCUUGCACAAUGGGGGAAACCCUGAUGCAGCGAUGCCGCGUGAGUGAAGAAGGCCUUUGGGUUGUAAAACUCUUUCGUCGGGGAAGAAAAUGACUGUACCCGAAUAAGAAGGUCCGGC
rnacentral:rRNA from 1 species